AAGGGUCCUGGUUCCUUACUGGGAACGCUGGACCUUACUGGGAGCACUGGGAAGGGUCCUGGUCCCUUACUGGGAGCACUGGGAAGCAUCUCAAACUCACAGCACCCACAACAAGAUCCUCAGUGCCUCCCUGAGUCCCCUUUAAGACCCCCCAACCUCCUUCCUUUCCCCCC
rnacentral:lncRNA from 1 species